CAGCACAAUCCGGCAGGCUUCUUCCUGCUCCUCAGGGGAAAUCUUCCAGAACACAGCCGUCAGCUUCCUCACCGCCUAGCUAUGUGCUCAGUGACCAUCCUGCUGUUUGGAAUGCUCUUCACAGUGAGAGGAACGGGAGCCCAGUCAGUGACUCAGCCUGAUGCCCAGGUGUUGGUCUCUGAAGGAGCCCGUCUGGAGCUGAAGUGCAACUAUUCCUCUAGUGCAACGACUUAUGUCUUCUGGUACGUGCAGUACCCCAACCAAGGACUCCAGCUUCUCCUCAAGUACAUAUCAGGGGACACCCUGGUUAAAGGCCUCAACGGUUUCGAGGCUGAGUUUAAGAAGAGUGAAACCUCUUUCCACCUGAGGAAAUCCCCAGCCCUUGGUAGUGAUGCAGCCAAGUACUUCUGCUCUGUGAGCGACACGGUGCCUGGGUCCGCAGGGGGAGCUGAACACAAACCUUGGGACUUUUCAUGA